UUGUAUCUCUAUCAUUUAUUGCACUAACACAUAUUAUACAUUGCUUUUUAGAGGAUAAACAUGGCUUUAAUUUGAUGUCACAUAUACAUAGAUACAUUCUCAUUCAUUAUAUAAAAAUGCCCCAAAAUUUGUAAAAAAAAUGAAAAAUACAUUUUUCCCACGGUUUUGGCAAUAAUAGCGCGUGCAUAAUAUGUCCAGCUUAGAAAAAGUAAUUCAAAAUAAAUUCAUUUAUGUGUCUUGAUUUAUAGAGUACAUCAUAUGUGUAGGAUUUCAGCUUGUUUUGAGAGCUACAGGUCACAAAAUACAAGGAC